CAGGCUGGUCGGGCGGUCGCGGUCCUGCGUUGACGGGAUCGAGGAAAGUCCGCACUCCAUAGAGCACGACGUCGGGCAGCACCCGGGGCGGGGAACCCUCCGUGAGGAGCUAACCUGCCGGAUGAGGGCCACAGAAACAGACUGCCUUUGUGCCUGCUUUUGGCGGGCACAGAGGUGAGGGUGAAAAGGUGGUGUAAAAGACCACCGGCAUCCGUAGUAAUACGGAUGGCCAGGUAACCCCCGUCGGGAGCAAGACCAAGCAGGGACGAAGCCAUCGGUUGAUGGCGGGAGGCUGCUCGCCUUCAUAAGCGCCCUCCCAUGCGAUGGGAGGGUCAGUCCCGGGUAGGUCGCAUCGAGCGGCACGGCAACGCGCCGCCCAGAGAGAUGAUCGCCCAGUGGCGCUCCGGCGCCAUGGACAGAAUGCGGCUUAUAGACCAGCCUGAGGA
rnacentral:RNase_P_RNA from 1 species